rnacentral:rRNA from 1 species
AUUGAACGCUGGCGGCAGGCCUAACACAUGCAAGUCGAGCGGAUGCAGGGAGCUUGCUCCUGGAUUCAGCGGCGGACGGGUGAGUAAUGCCUAGGAAUCUGCCUGGUAGUGGGGGAUAACGUCCGGAACCGGGCGCUAAUACCGCAUACGUGCUGAGGGUGCAAGUGGGAGAUCUUCGCACCUCACGCUAUCAGAUGAGCCUAGGUCGGAUUAGCUAGUUGGUGGGGUAAAGGCCUACCAAGGCGACGAUCCGUAACUGGUCUGAGAGGAUGAUCAGUCACACUGGAACUGAGACACGGUCCAGACUCCUACGGGAGGCAGCAGUGGGGAAUAUUGGACAAUGGGCGGAAGCCUGAUCCAGCCAUGCCGCGUGUGUGAAGAAGGUCUUCGGAUUGUAAAGCACUUUAAGUUGGGAGGAAGGGCAGUAAGUUAAUACCUUGCUGUUUUGACGUUACCAACAGAAUAAGCACCGGCUAACUUCGUG